UAUUAGAGGCAUUGCCUGCCCAGUGACUAAAGUUAAACGGCCGCGGUAUCCUGACCGUGCAAAGGUAGCAUAAUCACUUGUUCCUUAAUUAGGGACUAGAAUGAAUGGCUAAACGAGGGUCCAACUGUCUCUUACUUUUAAUCAGUGAAAUUGACCUUCCAGUGAAGAGGCUGGAAUAUUACAAUAAGACGAGAAGACCCUAUGGAGCUUUAAUUUACUAGUUUAAUUUAUAUAAAAACAACCUAAUGGCUCAAAACAAAACAAAUAUAAACUAAAAAAUUUCGGUUGGGGUGACCUCGGAGAAUAAAAAAUCCUCCGAAUGAUUUUAGCCUAGACCCACAAGUCAAAGUAACUCCAGUAUCUCAUUGACCCAAUUAUUGAUCAACGGACCAAGUUACCCUAGGGAUAACAGCGCAAUCCUAUUCAAGAGUUCAUAUCGACAAUUAGGGUUUACGACCUCGAUGUUGGAUCAGGACAUCCCAAUGGUGCAGAAGCUAUUAAUGGUUCGUUUGUUCAACGAUUAAAGUCCUACGUGAUCUGAGU
rnacentral:rRNA from 1 species